CCUACGGGAGGCAGCAUUGAGGAAUAUUGGUCAAUGGACGAGAGUCUGAACCAGCCAAGUAGCGUGAAGGAUGACUGCCCUAUGGGUUGUAAACUUCUUUUAUAAAGGAAUAAAACGAGGCACGUGUGCCUUUUUGCAUGUACUUUAUGAAUAAGGAUCGGCUAACUCCGUGCCAGCAGCCGCGGUAAUACGGAGGAUCCGAGCGUUAUCCGGAUUUAUUGGGUUUAAAGGGAGCGUAGAUGGGUUGUUAAGUCAGUUGUGAAAGUUUGCGGCUCAACCGUAAAAUUGCAAUUGAUACUGGCAGUCGUGAGUACAGUUGAGGUAGGCGGAAUUCGUGGUGUAGCGGUGAAAUGCUUAGAUAUCACGAAGAACCCCGAUUGCGAAGGCAGCUUACUAAACUGUGACUGACAUUGAUGCUCGAAAGUGUGGGUAUCAAACAGGAUUAGAUACCCCUGUAGUC
rnacentral:rRNA from 1 species